UACGGAGGGUGCAAGCGUUGUUCGGAAUUAUUGGGCGUAAAGCGCGUGUAGGCGGUCUGUUAAGUCUGAUGUGAAAGCCCCGGGCUCAACCCGGGAAGUGCAUUGGAAACUGGCAGACUUGAGUACGGGAGAGGGUAGUGGAAUUUCGAGUGUAGGGGUGAAAUCCGUAGAUAUUCGAAGGAACACCGGUGGCGAAGGCGGCUACCUGGACCGAUACUGACGCUGAGACGCGAAAGCGUGGGGAGCAAACAGG
rnacentral:misc_RNA from 1 species